rnacentral:rRNA from 1 species
CCCUUAGAUGUUCUGGGCCGCACGCGUGCUACACUGACCGGCGCAACAAGCUUUUUUCCUUGGCUCGACAGGCCUGGGUAAUCUUCGAACGCCGGUCGUGAUGGGGAUAGAUCCUUGCAAUUUUUGAUCUUCAACGAGGAAUUCCUAGUAAAUGCGAGUCAUCAUCUCGCGUUGAUUACGUCCCUGCCCUUUGUACACACCGCCCGUCGCACCUACCGAUUGAAUGGUCCGGUGAAAUCUCGGGACGGCGGCUCGGUCGCUUGCGUCCGACUGCUGAAACUUGAUUAAACCAUAUCAUUUAGAGGAAGGUGAAGUCGUAACA